rnacentral:tRNA from 1 species
GCCCGGAUAGCUCAGUUGGAAGAGCAUUAGACUUUUAAUCUGAGGGUCCAGGGUUCAAGUCCCUGCUCGGGCG